GAGGACCCUCUCACUGGGGUGGGGCUGCUCGUAAAAGCUUAGUACGCAUCGCAAAAGAAAAGCAGAUUUCAGCAAAGACACGAACAGCCAGUCCACCUCGGCCGCAGGGUCCCUUCUCCCACAGAUAGAGAACCCACAUCAUAGAGACACUCCUCCCAACCAGCAGCCCCAAAAAUGUGACUUAAGCAAGUCAUACGACGUUCACUAUCUGGGAAACAUCCGAAGUAGGUUGGCACCCACCCAACCACCCAGGUCUGCAACUAGAGGACAACCCAAUAACAAUAACUGGUACCUGAAAUAAGAAAGGUCAUCGCCAGAAGUCUUUGCAGCACAACUGUUGCAGCUCUCCAUCUCAAUGCGAUACCCUUCAUGGUCUGAAGGUGACAGUUUCCUGAUGAGUCGUGGAGGAAAAGGAAAAGCAGUCUAUUAUCUGACUUCCAGUCUCCAAACCUGCCUGGAGGAGAUGCUUUUAGGAUUUCCAGUUCCUUCUGCCCAUUUUGUCCGUUUUCAGACAAAUCUCACUGUGAACUGUAAGGUGGAGGAUGGGGGGAACUGUCAAAACAGCUUGCUGCUCAAAACCUCCCUUACCUCUCCCUGGCUCAGUGCC